rnacentral:antisense_RNA from 1 species
CUUGACCGAGCCCAGCAGCAACGGCUGCGCGCGGUCCUGGCCGUAGGUGGCCAGCAGCGCCUGUGCCUC